AUGCUUAAUCUUGGCAGCACAUCUGCUAAAACUGGAACAAUACAGAGAAGAUUAGUGGGGCCCGUGCACAUGGAUGACUCUUUUGGCUGGGUCCCUUUCCAGAGGUAG